rnacentral:lncRNA from 1 species
CUUUGGUGCUGCCCUGCUUAUUUACAAUGAAUAUCUGCAAAGUUAUGCUUCCCUAAAUUUGUCAGAAGCCUCUAGAGGCAGCUUUCAAACAGUUUAAAAUCCAAUACCUCAAGUAUCUUUUAUUUUGCCCCUCUCGAGCCACCCGCACAACCCACAUGAGCAUUUCUUCUGUUCUGUAGGCUUUGGCCUACACCUUGACCUCUGUCACCAAGACCCAUGCGAACCCUGCUCCUGGCAUAGCCAAAUUCAGUCCAGACAAAGCAGCCAAGCUGAGGUCCCUUCUCACUUGGCCACCAGCUACUGCUGCCACCAGGCCUCCUCUUCCAUCAAGGAACAUAAUUUCCUUCCCCACAGGUGAAAGAAUGGUAUUUAAUGAAUCCCAUGAUAAACGACAGCUGCCAAUACCUUUUAAGAGCAUAAUAUAAAUCCACUAUUGCUCACACCAAGUUAUUGCAUGCAUAAAAAGUGGUGCCAAAUGAAAGCAAAAGCUGUGAAUCAAGACCAAUGAUUUUGUUUUUGUUAGAAAUCACAGGAGCUGUGUCUUAGCACUGGGGCUGUUUGAGAGCAGGUGAGAAAGAAAUGGUGUAGCUGUAUGUGGAGAGAGGAGCAGCCCUUGGAUCUGCGCAUGCCUGGCUGGAGUUUGCGGAGCAAUCCUCCCACCAAUGAAGCACAAAGCACAUUCUCAGAUACACAAUACUCCGAAGGCAUCAGGCUGGUAAGAUGUGAAAAAAAGUUAUUUCUGCAGGUGAAACAGGC